rnacentral:rRNA from 1 species
AGUGAACGCUGGCGGUAGGCCUAACACAUGCAAGUCGAACGGCAGCACAGUAAGAGCUUGCUCUUACGGGUGGCGAGUGGCGGACGGGUGAGGAAUACAUCGGAAUCUACUUUUUCGUGGGGGAUAACGGAGGGAAACUUACGCUAAUACAGCAUACGACCUACGGGUGAAAGCUGGGGAUCUUCGGACCUUGCGCGAUUGAAUGAGCCGAUGUCGGAUUAGCUAGUUGGCGGGGUAAAGGCCCACCAAGGCGACGAUCCGUAGCUGGUCUGAGAGGAUGAUCAGCCACACUGGAACUGAGACACGGUCCAGACUCCUACGGGAGGCAGCAGUGGGGAAUAUUGGACAAUGGGCGCAAGCCUGAUCCAGCCAUACCGCGUGAGUGAAGAAGGCCUUCGGGUUGUAAAGCCCUUUUGUUAGGAAAGAAAAGCAGCAGGUUUAUACCCCGCUGUUCUGACGGUACCCAAAGAAUAAGCCCCGGCUAACUUCGUG